AGUGCGCUGUUGUACAUGGACUUAGAGAGCGCUUUCUUAGAAGCGCCCUCUAAGGGUAUCCUUAGAGGACGCUUUCAUAAACGCGCCCUCUAUUGUUGUCCCUCCAUUUCCUCAUUAUUUUUUCGCUUCACUUUAGAGGGCGCUUUGUUACAAAAGCGCUCUCUAAAGUGCGCUGUUGUACAUGGACUUAGAGAGCGCUUUUUUAAAAGCGCCC
rnacentral:lncRNA from 1 species